GACGUAGGUGGCGAACGUUAUCCGGAAUUAUUGGGCGUAAAGGAUGCGUAGCUGGUGUAGUAAGUUAUCGGUGGUAAAUCGAGGCUCAACCUCGUGGAAGUCGGUAAUACUGCUAUGCUAGAGGAUAGGAGAGGUUAACGGAACUCCCUGUGGAGCGGUGAAAUGCGUAGAUAUAGGGAAGAACACCAAUAAGGCGAAGGCAGUUAACUAUUCUAUUCCUGACAUUGAGGCAUGAAAGCGUGGGGAGCAAAACGG
rnacentral:rRNA from 1 species